GAUGAAGAACGCAGCGAAAUGCGAUAAGUAAUGUGAAUUGCAGAAUUCAGUGAAUCAUCGAAUCUUUGAACGCACAUUGCGCCCGCCAGUAUUCUGGCGGGCAUGCCUGUCCGAGCGUCAUUUCAACCCUCAAGCCCCCGGGCUUGGUGUUGGAGAUCGGCGAGCUCCCCGGGGCGCGCCGUCUCCCAAAUAUAGUGGCGGUCCCGCUGUAGCUUCCUCUGCGUAGUAGCACACCUCGCACUGGGAAACAGCGUGGCCACGCCGUAAAACCCCCCACUUCUGAAAGGUUGACCUCGGAUCAGGUAGGAAUACCCGCUGAACUUAAGCAUAUCAAUAAGCGGAGGA
rnacentral:misc_RNA from 1 species